rnacentral:rRNA from 1 species
AGAGUUUGAUCCUGGCUCAGAUUGAACGCUGGCGGCAUGCCUAACACAUGCAAGUCGAACGGAAACGAUGGGAGCUUGCUCCCAGGCGUCGAGUGGCGGACGGGUGAGUAACACAUAGGAAUCUGCCCAGUAGCGGGGGACAACUUGGGGAAACUCAAGCUAAUACCGCAUACGCCCUACGGGGGAAAGCAGGGGAUCUUCGGACCUUGCACUAUUGGAUGAGCCUAUGUCAGAUUAGCUUGUUGUUGGGGUAAAGGCCUACCAAGGCGACGAUGAGUAGCCGGCCUGAGAGGGCGAACGGCCACACUGGGACUGAGACACGGCCCAGACUCCUACGGGAGGCAGCAGCUAAGAAUCUUCCGCAAUGGACGCAAGUCUGACGGAGCGACGCCGCGUGAACGAUGAAGGCGGAAACGUUGUAAAGUUCUUUUCCUGAGGAAGAAUAAUGAGAGGAGUAGAAAGCCUUUCAGAUGACAUUAAUCAGGGAAUAAGCCCCGGCUAAUUACGUGCCAGCAGCCGCGGUAAUACGUAUGGGGCAAGCGUUGUUCGGAUUUAUUGGGCGUAAAGGGCGCGCAGGCGGUUUAACAAGCUUGAUGUGAAAUAUCCCGGCUUAACUGGGAAGACGCGUUGGGAACUGUUAGACUAGAAUUUAGGAGGGGAAACUGGAAUUCCUAGUGUAGGGGUGAAAUCUGUAGAGAUUAGGAAGAACACCAAUGGCGAAGGCAAGUUUCUGGCCAUAGAUUGACGCUGAGGCGCGAAAGCGUGGGGAGCGAACAGGAUUAGAUACCCUGGUAGUCCACGCUGUAAACGAUGUGCACUAGGUGUAGGAUAUUGAAUAUAUUCUGUGCCGUAGCUAACGCGUUAAGUGCACCGCCUGGGGAGUAUGCUCGCAAGGGUGAAACUCAAAGGAAUUGACGGGGGCCCGCACAAGCGGUGGAGCAUGUGGUUUAAUUCGACGAUACGCGAGAAACCUUACCAGGGCUUGACAUUUACAUGCCGAUCUAAGAGAUUAGAUUUCUACUUCGGUAGCGUGUAAACAGGUGCUGCAUGGUUGUCGUCAGCUCGUGUCGUGAGAUGUUGGGUUAAGUCCCGCAACGAGCGCAACCCUUAUUGUCUGUUGCCAGCAUUUCGGAUGGGGACUCAGACAAAACUGCCGGUGACAAACCGGAGGAAGGUGGGGAUGACGUCAAAUCAUCAUGGCCCUUAUGUCCUGGGCUACACACGUGCUACAAUGGCAAGUACAAAGCGUUGCGAGAAGGUGACUUUAAGCUAAUCGCAAAAAGCUUGCCUCAGUUCGGAUUGGAGUCUGAAACUCGACUCCAUGAAGUUGGAAUCGCUAGUAAUCGCGCAUCAGCAUGGCGCGGUGAAUAUGUUCCCGGGCCUUGUACACACCGCCCGUCACACCACCCGAGUUGGGGGUACCCGAAGUCGCUAGUCUAACCGUAAGGAAGACAGUGCCGAAGGUAUGCCUGGUAAGGGGGGUGAAGUCGAAACAAGGUA